AGGGAAAUUGCUAGAUUGUGUGAUUAUUUUAGUUUUAAUGUUUGAGAAAUAUCCAUAUUGUUUUGAAUAGUGGCUGUACCAUUUUUCCUUCCCACCAGCAGU
rnacentral:pre_miRNA from 1 species